GAUGAACGCUGGCGGCGUGCCUAAUACAUGCAAGUCGAGCGAACGGACGAGAAGCUUGCUUCUCUGAUGUUAGCGGCGGACGGGUGAGUAACACGUGGAUAACCUACCUAUAAGACUGGGAUAACUUCGGGAAACCGGAGCUAAUACCGGAUGAUAUUUUGAACCGCAUGGUUCAAAAGUGAAAGACGGUCUUGCUGUCACUUAUAGAUGGAUCCGCGCUGCAUUAGCUAGUUGGUAAGGUAACGGCUUACCAAGGCAACGAUGCAUAGCCGACCUGAGAGGGUGGUCGGCCACCCUGGAACUGAGACACAGUCCAGACACCUAGGGGAGGACGCAGUAGGGAAUCUUCCGCAAUGGGCGAAAGCCUGAUGGAGCAACGCCGCGGGAGUGAUGAAGGUCUUCGGAUCGUAGAGCUCUGUUAUUAGGGAAGAACAAAUGUGUAAGUAACUGUGCACAUCUUGACGGUACCGAAUCAGAAAGCCACGGCUAACUACGUG
rnacentral:rRNA from 1 species